UACGUAGGGCGCAAGCGUUGUCCGGAAUUAUUGGGCGUAAAGAGCUCGUAGGCGGCCUGUCACGUCGGGUGUGAAAGCCCGGGGCUUAACCCCGGGUCUGCAUUCGAUACGGGCAGGCUAGAGUGUGGUAGGGGAGAUCGGAAUUCCUGGUGUAGCGGUGAAAUGCGUAGAUAUCUGGAGGAACACCGGUGGCGAAGGCGGCAUCCUGGACCAACACUGACGCUGAGGAGCGAAAGCCAGGGGAGCAAACGGG
rnacentral:rRNA from 1 species